GGGGGGGGAGGCGACGGUGGCCGCGGGGUGGCCGAGGCUCACCCCCGCGCAACGGAACUGUUGGUGCGCUCCGACGGCGCGGAAGCCUCCGCCGAGCGCCGCCUUCUGACAGACAAAGAAGAACUACAAACCUCAGCCAGUCAGGAGCAACCACCAUCAACAAGCCUACUGCCCACUGUGGGAGAAGUAACAGUUCUAUUGAUGCAUCUCAGUGGGGAUGAAUUUCAGAAACAGCACUGCAGCCUCACUUUCUCUUUAGAGAGGUAUCAACACACAUAUACAAGAUCCUGGAUUUGUGCAAGUCACACAGGGACAAAAAUUAAGUUUGACACACUGUGUCUAGUACUGACAGACAGCAGAAGAAAUGAUUUCCUUGAGCUACGUGCUGUAGCUUUUACUAUAGUCGGUUUUGAUUGUGGUUUAAGAACAGAUACUGUAUUUCUAGCAUAUACGUUGUUGCUACUCCAGUCCACAGGGAAGCUGAAAAUUUUCAUGCUUUUUGUGUGAGCUUUGUUAAAAGAUUUGAGAUGCUGAACAAACAAAUUUUUGCUAUUCAGUUAAACUUUAAUAUCCUGAGUAAGACAGCAAUGUGCUUAAUACAGAGGAACUUGCAAAGGUUUCUUAACAGAAAUCUUUCUCUGAAAAGGGAAUAGCAUGUCACUAUUGUUUUAUUGAAUCAGAUUUUCUAGUUCUCCUUUUCUGCGUAUUUAAGUAAGUACUGUUGGAGGCAUGAGGAGAAGACGAAAAUGAUUCAAACAGUAGAUUCUCACUUAAUAAUCAACUAUUUCCUGGAUCACAAGGGGUAUUUUUCCUAGGUAUUUAGUUAUGUAAAUAAAGCUCUGUGUAGUGCAAAAUCCUACAGUAAAAAUAAAUGCCUCAGAACAAUACCAGCAGUUUUCUAUUGUUCACCAGAUAUUACUCCUGGGGAUAAAAUCAAUUUGAGAUUUCCUGUGUUUUGUAUGAUAAGAAUCUCCUGUCUGUCCACAAACAGAUUACUUUUCACAACAUUACGAAUCAAUUAAUCAGUAAAAUGGACCAAACCAUGCAGACAGAUUAAACAAACUUUUCCUCAUCAUUUAAAAAAAUAAAUAAAAAUCUAUAUUUAAAGCAAUGGUGAAAUUUUUGACUGCAAAAUGUAUCUUAAUACACUGCAAGCAAUUGAACAGCCAUAGAAAGAUCAUCUCAAGAUUACUAGUCCUAUUUAAUAGUCCUAACAGUCAGGCAGAUGCAAUUCAUCUAUCACACCUCAGGCCAACUGAGGAGAAAGAAAUACAAAUUAAAACAAUCAAACAAAAAACAAAACAACAAAAGACAGCCUCUUAUUGUAUGCAAAAAGAUGGGACAAAUAGUAUUUUUCAAGUCACCAUUUUGUUAUUUGAGUUCGCACCAUUCCUUGAAAGCACUCUGUUUAGACUCCUUGUGAGUGUAAAUCAUUACUUUUGAGGAAAAAAUAAUGAGAAAAGAGAAAGAGGAACAUGGAAGUUUUUCAGAUUAAGGGCACGAUCCUGUUUCUGUUGGACAAAGUUCUUCUAAGUUCCAUGUUGCCUGCAUUUUGUGUGUCUGGAGAGUUUAAGGAAAGCCUGAAACAGUCCAAAUAGCAUGUAAAACCUUUGAGCUAUACCCUGUUUAAUAAUUCUUUCAACCCUAGUUGUAGCUGAAUCAAAUCAACAAUAACAGUAACUACAGGGCAUUCCUAUUUAUCUUAGGAGCCACCAUGUGCAUAUCUACUUAAGGAGCAGAUUCACAAAGGAAUUCAAGCCAACUUAAGCCUCAUUACUGAUUUAAGAAAGCAAAACAAAACUGCUGUCUUCUUUUUACCUCCAUGAAUCUGGCUCUGCUUCUCAAGUGGAUGUACAGUGUAACAUUGGCUGGAGAAAAGAACUGAGGCAUCUGAGAAUUAACCCUGUUAUUAAAAAGCAUUCCAGCUUACUGCUUGAACAGAGUUGCACCAAUAGAAGAAAGCAGUGGCUCAGGGCAGGAGCUUGGACCAGGCUUUGCAAAGGAAACCUAGGCUGUGAGUGACCUCAGCCAUCUGCAGAAACACCAGGAAGCUGAUGAAACCUUACUUGGCAUGAAAUGGGCAUGCAGGGACAACACAGAGGAUAUAACUUUGUCACUGUUUUGGUUUGGAUGAGAAGCAUGCAUGCUUUGGGUUCAUGUGAAGGAAUGAUUUUAGAUGUAACUGAACUAUAAAGUGCUUGCUAUGGGUGCAGUCAUUGUGUUCACUCAGUCCACAAGCCAAAAAGCAUCAGCUGAUCCAGUCUACAAAAUUCACUCCCAGGCUGCACUAAUUGCAGAUAUAGACAUAACUAUGCCUUCCAUCCUGGGGUUAACUUCAGUCAUUUACUGCUGCCUGCACUGAAAGCACUGCUGCUGUUUGCUCAGCCAAAAAUCUGACGACAGAGGGGCAGAGUAUGUGUAACUCUGUUUAUUAAUAUUUAUCUUUUCCCCACAAAUCUUCCUGCUGAAUGAAGGAAAUAUUACUUAUAUUCUGCUAUACUAUUGGAGUUCUGGAGAUGCACUCUCAUCUGAAGCAUAAAGGAAUUAAUUCUGAUUUGGAUUAUUUUGUCUCUGGUAUUCGUAGGGAUGUAGUUCUCAGCUUUGGAAGAGAUGGAAGGCAGGGAGAAAGUCAAUAUCCUCUUUCAGCAGCUUCCAGAUAGCACAGUGCCUACAAGAGAGUCAUCUACACUGUUAGGAACUAGAACUGAACAGAUAAUUAUUGUUUUUCUGUUUGGGAAAGAAAGGAAACAGAGGAAGGAAAAGUAUGUUAGAUGGAGUCUGAUAGUGCUGGCUCCUAAACUGGAAAACCAUGACCACAGGAUAUAAUCUCUUUCUUCCAUUUCUUGUUUUUUUGUACUAGAUAUGACAAGGUGAAGUCUGAAAGAAAACCAAGUGAUUUGUUACGAAUCAUUUAUUCUUCAAGUUGAUCAAGAAAGCAGUGAUUGUUACUGAUCAGGCAAUACUAUGUAAAUAAAACAAUAGGAGGCAACAUAGGAAGCUAAAUUGGCAUGGAUUGCCAGUUUACAAAGAAACACCAAGGGAAAGAACAACAACAUGAAAAAAAAAACAAUGCACAAAGCUGUACCUGGGCAGUACUGCCAGGAAAAAGACAUUGGAUCCAAAUCUGCAAUUAGAUGAACAGGGCAUGGUAAUGGUUUCAGGGUAGAAAGAUUAAAAUUGAUAGGAAGUCCUUGUGGCUGAGGUGGGAGGCUUGGUGGUUCUAUAUGGAAGCCCCAGAUACAGCCUGCAUCAGACAAAAGGAACUGAGAAAAAGUACUAAGGAAGGUUUAUAAAUUUAUUUGGAUUUCAGUAGAUUAUUUUUCUAUAUGCUGACAACCAAAAAUAAAUUUCAGGUACUGCUUUUUUUCAUUGCUACUCCUUCAUGAAAGAAGCAUGGAAGUUAAGUAAUUUCAUGAGUUAACAAAAAGAUUUUAUCCUUUCUCUUAAGAUGCUAACAAUUAAAAUAUAUGUAGCAGGAUUUUCCCUAGGGUAACUCUACAGUUCUUCAAGGUACAAGGGCAUAUUAGAGAUUACACAGUUAUUAUAAAACCAGUGUAAUGGCAACACAUGCUGUCACCUGGCAGUAUGUGUCUAAUUGAUCUUACUCAAUUACUUAAUUUUAUGACUCGCUUUAGUAAAGGUUAAGACAUUGAUGUUUUAGAAGGCUGUGCUGAAUAAUACCAUUGUUGGAGAUUACUUUCUCAUGUAAUUGCUUCAUUAAAAGCAGGUAAAUAGAGGAAGAGUCAUCCUGUCAGGAAGCACACUGAAACGGAAUAUCCUAUGUCAAAGCAACAGCAUUACUGUCUUACAUACGUAUGUUUUCUAGUGUCUCCCUUUUUGGAGUGGGAAAUACUUGCCUCUUUUUGACUUGCAUAAAUGACAGUAAACUCAAGUGAGAAACUCCUCUACAAUUUUAGCAUUUUUAAGCAUGACAGGGAACAAGAAGGAAAGGCAGCUCAGUGGGCUCUUUGUAGGCCUGUCAACAAAUAUUUGUACUUCAACAAGUAUUUUCAACUGCAAAGCCACAGUUUAUGUGUAGGUGGGAAAGGGUGCUGUGGUUCAGAAGCAAUACUCACUGCAUGCAUGUUCAAGAUAUGCAAAGGAAAAUUUAUUCCAGAGCCUUUGCUAUGGAGCAGUGUCUCUGUAUCCAGUCCUCUUCUGUUAUCCCAGUUUCCCUAAUGCAAUUUUAGUCAGACAAUCUGUGGUCAUAGGCUGAGUGAAGUAUUUAGUCCUUCACUGAAGGGACUUGUGAAGCCACAUUUAGGGAUCAGGAGGGAAAAAUGUGUCAUGUUUUUUCAUACAGCCCUGUGUUGUUACGAUGUUUCCAGUUCUUCUCUGUCAAGGUGAUGCUCAUAUACCUUCACAGGAAACUGCAUGCUGUAAAUAUCGUGGCUUUGAUAACCAUUGUUGAUGUUAUCCUAGCAGGCAAAUAUCAGUACCUUCAAGCUGUUGCCUGCUAGAACCUUCUCAUCCUUUCUUUCUGUCUUUCCCUGGACCUGCCCAGCAGCCAGCUGGAAGACACCCUUCCAGCUCCCAACACUGGGUGUGUCUGGUCUCCCAGCAGAGGAUGCUGAAGGAGUGUCAAUGGGAGCAGAUACAGUUCACCUCACAGGAGAUGGGACCAUUUCUGGGGGAGAUACAGGAGGAGAUUCAAUAGAGCUGUCUCAGUAGAGCAGUGGAGGCUCUAGAAAGGGCGGCACUGCUUCACCACCAUGUUUUUUCUCUACUCUUUUUUGUAGGCCUUUUUCUGGGGAUGCAGAAUGCCCAUGCCCUGGAUUCUUUGGUGGAGUUUUACUGUACGCAUCCUUCCCAUAUACAGCAGGAGCAGACCUAUGCAAGCUCACUCUCCAAUAAACAACAUUUAAACCAAAUGGUUUAGUUCGAUCUCUUGACUCAUUUGUCUUUCACUUAGAGCAGUGAAUCUAAUGCAACAAAUAUCAUAAUUUCCCUCCCUUUGUUUUUUUGUUUGUUUGUUUGUUUGUUUGUUUUGUCUGCUAUCCCCAUUGGAACACAUCUGCUUUCAUUGGUAGUAGUGCUACCAUGGAAGCACAUGCUGCUUCUCCACUCUGCUCCUUCAUUGAGUUCGGCCACUUCUUACUCUUCUAGAACUAAAGUAUAUGAGCUUGCAUUUGGCUACUUCAGAAGGCAUGUUAGUUGAACGAGCCCAGUUUAUCCUGGAAACUGGAUCACACUCUGUAGUGUCCAUUGUCAUCACCAUUUAUUACUUCAUCUGCGCUUUUGGCUCUGCAAAAAGAGACAAAAAAAAAACCCCAAACAAACAAACAAACAAAAAAAACCCAAAACAUUAUUUGAUUUUUUAAAUAUGUUUCCAGAUUAUUCAUAAAAUUAUUACCGGCUCUUGGGUUUUUAAGGUUUUGAUGCUAUUUUGUAAGAUCUGUAAUAUAACAUAUCUUUUUUUCCCAUGUGCCUUAUUAAUGUUAUGCAAUACUAAAUCAUUUUAGUUUGAAGGCCACAAAGUAUCAAGUUAAAUACUGUUCCUAAGUGUAUUACCUCAGCACUGUUGCAAACAUCAAUAUAUUUUUAAGUUCAGCAGAGAACAACCUGAGUUCAGCUGACGAGGCCUUUUUGCAAAACUCUUAGAGUGUUAAUCUGCUUUCAUUGACUGAACUUCAUCUUUUACAUUUUAUAAAUUAUGAGGUCAACCACGUUGUUUGAGUUCAGCUUUGGAGGAUUUCCAUUGUACGCUCAGCAAGGCAGAAAACUCCUCAGCUAGAUCUUCUACAACUACUGACUGAAAGAUAUCUGUGCUCUCCUUUUACCAUAUUUGUUUCUAAUAAAUGUGUUUUAGUAUUUAACUUGUAGACUGGCAAACUGUACAAUAUUCUGAUCAGAUAUAAAUACUUCAUCUUCUCCUUAUCAAAUACCACUAAGCAGCUAACCACUGAACACAUUUUGCAUCAUUAGCUCUCUUAUGUCAGUCUAGUACCAAGCAUUUACUGACAUUCUAACUUAUUUUCACAGAACCACAGGAGUUGCUACCACCUCUCUGGGCAGCCUUUUCCAGAGCUUCGUCACUCCAACAGUAAAGAAGUUUAUUGUGUUUAUACUUCAGGUUUCCUUCUAUUGUCUCUAGGUUUUCUAGACUUGAAUUUUCUUUGGCUUCAUUUGGGUGUUUUUUUAUUGUUGUGUUUAUGAUUGCUGCCUACUUUUAAUUAUUGACAUUCCUUCCUUUUCCAGAAAGCGCUUUUAAUAAAAGUGUUUUUUAAUAUCAAAAUAUUGUGGAACACAAUAAAUCUUCUGAUAUACAUCCUGAUUUUUGUUAAUACCAUGAUGUUUCUUGACUUUUUUUUUUCUUAAGAGAAAACAAAUCAGGCAGAUGUAGACAAUUUAUCCACAUGAGUGUAUCUCAGUGUAUGGUAACUGUUGAGUCACAACCUGAACCACUGAUUGAGCAGCUGGGGAAAGGACCAGGUCAGCCCUGGGAGCAAGAGGUGAAGGUGAUUCUCCUGUGUGACCAGAAGGCGUGGAGCCUGGCUGCACCUCUCUUAGACCCCAUUUAAGGGCUGACUGCCACUGGGGAAGGAUCUCUUUCUGGAGAUCCCUUUUUGGUGGAGUUUUGCUCUGUGAACCUGGAAUCUUCAGAUGCAAGUGAGCAAUCUUCUCUCCUUCCUUUAUAGCAUCUUUCCCAUCAUAUUGAUCCGUGCAAUUGCUACACUCAGUAAAUACAAACACAUAGGUAAUGCCCACUAAUACAUAAUUACGUGCACAUAUGAAAGAGCUUGGCUGAGCCUGUGCUCUGUCUGCCCUUGUUUGAUGUAAUUAGUUGUGACCACUUUUCUUCAGGCAAUCACAAGCUUCCAGCCUUGCAGUCAUUCCACCUCUACCCACCACACUCGGGUCUGUAUGCGUGGUACCUAUUUUGUGCUGAAAAAUUGUUGCUGGUAACUUCUGGAAACUCUAAUGCAGCUUUACCACUGUCUUCAUGACGCUUCCAUUCUUCACAAAUCAGUGAUGAUAAUGCCAGUUUUAUUUUCACAUAGCAUUGACAGGCACUUAAGGGCUUAUUAGCUUUUCUUAUUUUUUUUUUUUUUAAAUUGCUUUUAGCAUUGAUGACUAAAUGCUUUCCAUACAUUAUUCAUUUUUACAUUGCAUCAAACUGUAAAGAAGUAUGUGAUAUACUAGAAAAACUACAGUUUUGGUCCCUGAUUGAUUUUCUUUCAUAGCUUUUGUGUUUCAUUAUCUUUCAGUGAUUAAUGAUAUUUUAUAGCAUUGUAUUAUUAAUGUAGUCAUACAAAUUAAAUUUGUGUAUAACUGACAUCUAAAUCUUAACCAAGUGGCACCAAAAGCAACAUAGCAAUAGACAAGAUAAGAGUUCAGCCUUGGUAUUACCAUUUUCCUCAUGUUGCAUUUGAUGCUACAGAUAAGUAGUAACUGACAAAGAAAAUUCAUUGACUUGAUUCCAACUGACAAGAUUUCACAUAUGCUGGAACAUAUCUUGUUGCAGUUUCUGUAAAAAUGGAUACUGUUGUUUAACUUUUCUUUUAAAUUAUUUUUUGCUUUACCUAAGAUAUUCUAAGGUGUUCCUACACUUGCUUUCAUUGUUCAUCAGCAGGUAGCAUAUGAGUAAACAGAAAGCACACAGGAAAUAUUGCUAUCCUUCUGUUGUUAUUACAAAUUUGAUUUGGCGUGUUAAUAACGUGACUGUCAAAGCUGUUUAUAUUUAAAUGUUCAGUGAAGAUAAUCAUCACUAUAGAGUUUGGGCUCAGAAAAGGGUGAUAUCUUCCUCCAGAAGCAAAUCUGUGAUGGAAAUUUCCAUGCAGAUCACUUGACAGGAGAUUACAAGUUUUUCUGCAGGCCAGAUACAGACUGAGAGAUACAGAACAUGCAGAUGCUUUCAUCUUGGAGUUGCCAAAUGUACUGCAGUUCCUUUUUGCUUUCUUACUCAAAACCCACUCAAAAGUGGGUCAUACCCAAUUUUGCUUCAGUAAAAGCAUUUAAGUAACAAAAUAUGCAUUGGAUUCUGGAAAAUACAUACCGAGUCAUGCACAGGUAUUACUCAUUCUUUGUGAUAUUACAUUCAAAUUUUCCCAGUAUUAAAGAAAAAUAUUUUUUCGUAAUAAGUAAUACGCUGCCCCAAAGAUAUUGAAACACACUCCAACUGUACCUAAUAGAGCUGGUGUAACCUCCAGUCAAAUGAGAAAAAUCUGCAUAGAUUCCAACUCAGCUAUGUGUAUCACAACAUUUCCAGUACUUGUAGAAAUAGUUGGCAGCGCUACUUCUGUCCUUCAGGUGUAAUCCAAGCUAAAACCUGCCUGCAGGCAAAUCACGUAUAACAAUUCAGAGUUUAUCCUCGGACAGAGAGCAUGUUGGGUCUUGGCUGUACUCUCUUUGUGCUUUGUGCAAUAAUUUGUACUCCUGUGAAAUAACUACAAAAAAACCACCACCUGUCUGACUGGGGAUUUGGUUGUCUUUUACAGAGCUCCACAGGGCUAUGUGAAGAAGGCUUCCAAAGGAGAGAUCACGUCUAGAACCCUCCUGUAGAUGGAUCACAGGCUGUUGGGCAUGUUGAAAAUGCUGUUGCGUUGGCAGACAAGCUUUGGCAAGCUGCUUCAUAGAGGCUGAAAGGAGGUUUUGCUUCCAGCUCCACUCCUCUGCUGGAAUUACUGUCUGCACAGUAAUGGGGGAAUGCAGACCUUUGACUUAGCAGCUCUGGUGCAAAGGGUAAAACAUUCACCUUUGCUAAAGGUUAAAACUGAAAUGCUUUUCUGGAAGCAUAGGUGAAUUUGCACUAAAACAUCAAACUGAGUAGAAGAAAGAGAAGCACUUGAUUCCUCCUGCUGCUCUGGUGGUUGGGAAGAUGGGAUGGAAAAGGUGAGCGGCCUUCCAUGAGGUGCAGCACAGAAGGGUGAGAAUGGCAGCAUUUGAAAUUGACUCAAUGUAACUACUGGUGCUGGUAUGAGUGACUGGCAAAUGACCAUAGUGAUUUAUGUGGAUUAUUAAGUGUCGAUAAAGAUAUUAUGUCGAUAAAGAUAUUAAUAUUAAGUGUUGAUAAAGAUACAUGAAAAUUGCACAGAAUGUGGAGCACAGGUUUGUAACUUCGAUCACCAAUUACCAAAUAAUUCCAGAGACUUACCUGUGAACUGACACUAUUAAGAUCUUCUUUAAGGUAUGUCUAAAUGGAGAAAUUCCACCAAUGUGGUGAUGGAAGAAUUAAAUUUGUGAUUCUUGCUAGACUUAUCAAGUUCCAAAUCUAAAAGUGCUCCAAAACAUUCUGGUGCCACUGCAAAAAUUAAGCUUGAGCCUAAGCCAAUGCAAAGGAAUCUUCCUGACUCUGUACAUUGGCUUGACUAUAGAAAGGGCAAAUGGCCCAAUUGUAAAAUUCCUGGCUACACCCAGAGUUGUUAAACUUCAGUAAAAAUAUAUAACAUUUUGUGGAAUUUUUAUAUUCCCACUGUUUGGUAAGGUCUAAAUAAAGCCUUUGAAGCUUCAUUUACUCAUUUUAAAUGCAGGUGUUCAAACUGGAACACAUACAUUCACCAAAACAAGGCACAGCACAAAUAGUAAAGAAGGCGAUGUGGUGGAAGACGGCAUACAUCAGUAGGAAAACAGUUAACCAAGAUUUAGUUCAUACAUAUUUAAUUGAACAUGUAUUUAAGCCAAGUAUUCUUUCCCAUAUCUUUGCAUACAUACUUCUAUGUCUCUUUCUGUAUAGCGAACUUUUCAGUCCUCUCGUUUCCCCAUGUUUUUAUACACUCAUGAUUUUUUUUUUGUACUGCUUAGACCUGACCUCUCUUAUUUUUUCCCUGACUGUAUUCACAUCUGGCUUUUAUCAUUUUGUUUGUCUGGCUAACUGCAAAGCAAUACCCUCCAAUCUUGCUAGUCUAUCAGCAGUGUGAAAAUACCACGAAAUGUAAACCACCAGCAAAUGUGUGAACUACCAGAAAGCUGCUAUUUGCAGAGUGGUGAAUUACAGAGAGCGUAAGAAAAGCAGCAAAAAUGUUUUGUUGUUAACACUGUCACUUCUUCCCCUUCCCCCCCCCCCCCUUUUUUCUUUUUUGCCAUGGAUUUUGUAAUGGGUAAGAUUUACUUAAAAAUAACAAUGAAUUGCAUGAACACCUUGAAAUUAACAGUAGUUAAAUAUUGACAUUAAUUUCAAUAUUUUAAAAAUCAGGUUUUGCAGAAUAUAUCUUUGUAUAUUGUUCCUGAUAUUUGGCAGACUGCUCUUGGCAAAUGCUCCUGUAGUGCCUCAGUCACAUCAACGCACAGAUUGCUGUGUUGCCAUAAAACUAAUUUCAUUUGCAAUUUCCACAUGGGGAGAGGAAAUUGCAAUUAAGUGACUGAGGCAUGAAUGUGUUUCGUUCUGCUGCAUCUGCGGUCAGGAUGAUUGUCUGUAUCGAAGUGAUGGUACAGACACGUGGGUCAGUGUCAUUUGAAAUUUCUUCACCAAGAUUCAGCAAGUCUGUUAAUCCAUGUUUAAAAAUAUGACUAUAAAAUAACAUUAAUAUAUUAUAUUUAAUACUUAUUAUCUCUCUUCUGCUGCUCAGAGGGCUAACUGGCAUUAGUCAGGGGAUGGUGAGCAAUUUCUCGUGCAUCACUUGUUAUACACAUUCAUAUAUAUAUAUAUAUAUAUAUGUCUUUGUCAUAACUAUUAUCCUUUUCCUUUUCUCUAUCUUAGUAAAUAGUUCUAUCUCAACCUGCGAGUUCUACUUCAUUUUUUUCAGUUCUCUCCCCAUCCCACUGGGAAGUGGGGGGAGUGAGCAAAAAACUGUGUGGUGCUGAGCUGCUGCUGGGUUAAAACAUAGCACUCAUGACUGUGCUUCACAAGAUCUGUCAUAAACAGGUUCUGGGUUAAAGGAAAUGGCAUAGCUUGUAGCAGCAGCAACGUAAAACCCAGAUCUUAUCCUCAGUGAAUCUGUAAAAUAUUUUGCUGCUGACUUCACUGAGGUCAGAAGUAGACUAUCAAUUUGGUAAACUUGUUUUUAACCAUCAGUCUAGAUUUUCAUCAUUAAAAACAGGGGAAGAUGUGAGCUUGGAGGGUCUACUCCAAACUAGAAAUGUAUCCCUACGACAUCCAAAACUUCAUUCCCAAAUAUUAACGGCCAAUGAAAAGAACAAAUAAAUUCACUACAAAAUAAUAAUUAUUUCAGUCCCUUUGAUUUCAUAAGCUGAAUGCUUUUAUUAGAUAGUAUAUUUGAGUAAUGCUUGAGGAAUUGUUCCAGUAGUAAAAGGAAACACAUAUUCUUCCCUAGUUACAGCUGCAAUGUUGAUAUAAGGCUUUUAACCAACGGUCAGGACAAUGUGUGAAAGUGUCAUGGUAUAAAACAUAACAAGCUGCUGCUUCUCAUUUCUUAGCUAUGUCUGAGUGAAAUGAAAGUUCAUUGGAGAACUUGUGAAUAAACUAUAGGGAAAUAUGAACCUGUAUAGGAGCUUAGAAAUGCUGCACAGAGAUUAUGACAUUGCAAAGUGCUUUUGAGUUUGUUAACGCUACACAGUAAAGCCAAACUGGUAGAAUAAUUAUCUGAUUUUUUUUUUAAUUAGAACUUGUUAGUGUUUCAUAGAUUUCAAUAUCAAUCUAGUACUAAUAUUUUGAAAUCAUAAUGCUCAAGUAGUACUUAAAGUGGAUGCUAUUUUUAGCAGUAAUUACAUUUUUCGAUAGAACUUAACUCCAUGUGACCUCUUUGUAGAGCCAAUAGUAUUUUGCUAAGUUAGCAGCUUUUUGCUAUUUUUCUUGGGGGAGAAGUAUGUUUGUUUAAAAAAAAAUCCUUAAAAAUAUUAUUUCCAGAAUGAAUAGGACAAUAAUAAUCUAAAUAUAGUUGGCUCACUUCUAAUAAUUUUUUCCUCAGAAACAGUUUCCAAGUACAACCACUGGAAAUAGGCAAAUACUAAGAGACUGAUGACAUUCCCUAAAGACUGACAGCUUUUCUUAUUUAUAUAUUUAUAUUACAUAUUUUUACAAAACAUAUGUACAUAUAUACAUGCACAUAUAUUUAUAUUUUUAUAUAUAUUCAUAUAUAUACAUAUGCUGAAAGUUCACUUUUUUUGUCCUUUUCAUCCUCUUUUAGGAGCCUACUAGAUCCAUGGAUCAGGCAUGUAACAACCUUACAGUGACUGAAGUUCUGAAGUUCAAAGGGCUUUAGUUUUGUUUGUUUUCUAAUAUUUUGUCUAAACAUUAGGAUCAAAUGUGACAUAAUUAUUAAAAUGCUUCUGAUUUACUGAA